AUGCGUGCGCGCACAUGUAUAAAUGAUGGAUGGGAAGGAAUGGGACGUUAUCACAGAGUGCAUGUAUCACUGCCUGCCAUUUUUACACAGGCCUGUGACAGGACAGUGAGAUGCAGAACAUGGGCCGCAGCCUCCAAGAUGAGCAGAUCUUCAUUUCCUGUUCAGAGCAGGAUCAUACACAAGCAAUAUGUGACCAAUAGUGACUGAUUCAGAGCAAGAGCAUCCCGGCUUGCAUUUUUGACAGGGUGGCAGGGAAACCAAGAUCCAGGUCGAAGAUGCGGCUGAAGAACAAUAGCUGUGGAUGCUUUCACACUGAUUCUAAUUAUCAGGGCAGCGCUCUGACUCCGUCGCCGUCAGCCCUAGCGUCUCCAUUAAUCUUGUGCUGUCGCCCACCUCACUAAACCCAGUGCUGUUACACUAUCUCUGCUUUACUUCAUCUGCGGAGCCUGUGUUAGGCUGUAAUUAAUGAAUCCCCACUCCCCCCGUGCUAGGUCUGCUGCUUCUAAUCACGAGGAGAGUUGUGCCAUGAAAAGUGUUGAUGGGAAGGGGGGUCAGCAUGACAGUAAAUAUGUAUAACUAAACAAAGAAAAACUGCCAAUUUAAAACAAAAUCCUGUUGUUUUCACAUAAUUUAUUCCAGAUAUUCAAUAAUGACUUGUAAUGAAAUGAAAACCAUUAUCAGCCUUUUGUGUCGCUAAGUUCAUUUUCUUUUGUUUUUAACAAAAAUUUCAGGCCAUGAACUGACUUGCACUACUGCCUCCUUACACAACAUUUUCAUUGCAUUACUGCUAUUACUAUUAUUAUCAAUAUUGUUAACAAUUUUUAACAAUAAUAAUAAUGAAACUUUUUUGUUACUUCAUUGUAGGUGCCUACACUUUCAACAUAAUUAUCCAGGCAGUGUUGAGCUUACUUACUGAAGAGGAAAUUAAUUGGAAAAUUACCUAAAAUCUAUAAAUAUAUAUUUAAAAAUGAUGAAAAUAAAUGUAUAAUAAUAAUAAUAAUAAUAAUAAUAAUAAUAAUAUACAUUUAUUCAUCAUAAAAAAAAAACAAAUAUAUAUAUAUAUAUAUAUAUAUAUAUAUAUAUAUAUAUAAUCAUAUUUGGUAAAUAUUAGAAGAUAAGCUGCUGAUUAUGGCAUCAAACAACUGAGACCACAUAUAGAUAAGCCAUACAACACAAAUGUACACAAAAAAACUUUUUCAAAAUUGUAAAUAAAAACAAAGAUUACUGGAGUAUGUUUUACAAGAAAAUACUAUUUCUGCCUUUCUACCUCACAAUUAAGUCUACCUGAGAAUAUUUGAAACAACUUCCUACUCAAUCUCUUGUGGUAAUUUGAUGGUAAUGUUUAAGAAAUGGACUGACUCUAUAUGGAAAGAAAAAUAAAAAAUAUGAAAACAGACAUAUGAAAACAGACAGGAAACAUUAUGGUUGUGCCCAUGGUUAAGUAAGCAUAAGAUCUGUAAUCCUCUCUCUGACUAUAAGAACAGAGCUCUUGUGA
ensembl:lncRNA